rnacentral:antisense_RNA from 1 species
AAUGACCUGCUUAGAGUUCUGCGCCCCCCAGCAUGGAGAGCAGAGCGCAAAGAUUUCCUCCAGACUCCCACAUUCUCCCUUGGAAUCCAAGAACUUGUCUACUAUCACAACACUUUAGUACCCACUUAUGGAGUUUUGCUCUUGUUGCCCAAUCUAGAGUGCAAUGGUGCAAUCUGGGCUCACCGCAACCUCAGCCUCCCAUGUUCAAGCGAUUCUUCUGCCUUAGCCUCCCGAGUAGCUGGGAUUACAGCUCCUAAGGAGGCAGCAGAAACCAAGGUAAUCACAAUGGUCAACAGCAGCGAAGGCAGCACUUUCUGAUUUUAAACUUGACUGCUAUGGAUGCCACCUCAGUUUAAUAUCUGUAAGUUUGGACAGGAGGUGUCCUGGUGAUUAGCUGGAGCUCUGGGGAGCUGUUGCUGAAAUUAACUUGAGUGCUUUGGAGAGAGAUUUACAUGGAAGAGUGGAGCCAGGGCUGCUCCUUUGGCAGGCACUGCUGUGCCACUGUGGAGGCGCCCCUGCUUUUCCCAUGCUGUGCAAUGUCCUCAAA